UACGAAGGGGGCUAGCGUUGUUCGGAAUCACUGGGCGUAAAGGGCGCGUAGGCGGCCGAUCAAGUCGGGGGUGAAAGCCUGUGGCUCAACCACAGAAUUGCCUUCGAUACUGUUUGGCUUGAGACCGGAAGAGGUAAGUGGAACUGCGAGUGUAGAGGUGAAAUUCGUAGAUAUUCGCAAGAACACCAGUGGCGAAGGCGGCUUACCUGGUACCGGUUCUGACGCUGA
rnacentral:rRNA from 1 species